rnacentral:lncRNA from 1 species
GUUUGAGUGUUUUAGAAACUAUGUUAGGAUCAAAACAUUUGUCAUACAGUUGUGUGGAUAAUUACAGGUAAGUAAAAAAAUAAGUGUCUUUUAUUCGUUAAAGUUUCUUGCGUUUUCCGAAAGUAAAGUAAAACAGAAAAGAUUAGCAUUCAGGUCAAAUUUGUAUCAGAUAAAGUACAAAUGAAUACCAACCAUAUCACAUAGUAAACAUUUAAAGCUGAAAUGUUAAAUCCACCAUUCCUUGUUCUUUCACCUGAAUGAAUGCUAUUUCAGCAAUUCAACAGAUGAAAAAACAUACCCGCACUGCGGUGUCAUUCCGUUCCGUAAUGCACACUUGGCAUCUUCUGGAGAAAUGCAAUAUGGAAGCAUGCACACCUGGCACUUACUCUAGUACUGAAUGCAAGCAUGUGCUGUGUAUAUGGGACUGUAAGAGUUAACUAGUUUACUUUGGCCAACUAUAGGAAUCGUUUUCCUCAUAAACUAGACAGAUAAAAGGAGAGGGUGGGAAUACGAAGAAAGGGAAAAUAGCCAGAGAAGCAAUGAAAAGAUAAAAGAAGGGAGGAGACGAUAAAAGAAGAGGGAAGAAUAAAAAUGGGAAUUAGGUUACUUGCAAUUGUCACUCGAUAGGUAAACUGUGAAAAAGUAUGGAGUUUGGUCCACUCAUACCCACUUGUGCUCUCAGACAUGGAUUCCAGACCUCAUAGAACUGAUGCCCGUAAUUAAGGCCACAAUUUUCUCAAUAGGAACACAAGGUAGAGGAUUGCACAUGCUUUAAAGGAACACUAGAGGGUCAGGAACACAAACAUGUUUUCCUGACUCUAUAGUGUUAAAGCACUUGCCCUCCCUAAACAUAGUAUAAUCUUACUUCAUUCCAGACUUUACUACAGUCUGCUGCUGGCUCUGCCCCUGAUCUGCCUGCUUGACUGACAUAAUCAGAAGUGGUGGUCUGAGCCAAUCAUAAUGCUUCCCCAUAGGAUUAGCUGAGAGUGUCAAGGAGGCAGAUCAGGGGCAGAGCCAGCACAAGCCAAACACAGCCCUGGCCAAUCAGCAUCUCCUCAUAGAGAUGUAUUGAGGAGGUCAGUGUUUGAAUGCAGAGGGUGGAGACAUAUCUCAUAGGCAAUAGUGUCUGACUGUCAAGGAAAGUAAUGGCUAAAUUAUAAAAGCCAAACCUGUCAGAAAAAAAAAGGGAGGAAAACUCGAUACAAAUUAACCAAGUGAAAAUACUUCAUAUGCCUUUUUUUGGUGUCUGGAGUUUCCCGUUAAUGAUACCAAAACAAAUACAUUAAAAUUGUAUUGUUGCCUGAAGUGUACCUUUUAAUAUGCUUUAUUUUUUUGCAUGUUCAAAUCAUACAUUUGAUAAGAAAGUCUUUCUGGCAUGAGAGGGCAGGCUGAGUGGAGCAUUCGGCAAAACAUUUAUUUUUGUAUGCAAAAACUAUAAAAAUUUGUACAUGCAAAAAUUUUUUUAUUUUAUUUUAAAUACAGCAUAUUAAUGAUCUAUAAUAUCUAUAAAAGACAUUCAAGUUGUGUUGGUGCCCGUAGUGUCCCUUUACGAGUUUCUGUAACUGUAUGUUCUUACAUAAUAAAGAAAUUACUUAAAGGGUUACUUCAAGCACCAUGGCCACGUAAGUGAUUUGAAUCCUCCAGUACACCGUUUUCCAGCCUCCAUUUAUCCUUGCUUGCGUUCUCCUAAUUCAGGUUCACUCCCUUUUUAUGCCUAUAUUUGCUCUGCUUGUCAAUUUUAAUUCCUUCUUUCUCAUGUCUCAUUUUUAAUUUAUUCUUGUGAAUAAUAUUAAACAAAACAACAAUCGUUCCCAGAAGUUGAAACUUUAAAGGAACAUUAAUUAUGCCACUUUAUAUAAUAACUGAAAAGUACAAUAAAAAUGCUUCACUAUGCCACAUUGAGGUUCAUCCCUAAGUUUCACAAAAAAAGGCCCACAACAUAGGGUGUCACUUAAAGAGUUGCUCUAAGCUCCAAAACAUGUUUAGCUUAAAGGGACUCUCCAGUGCUAGGAAAACAUAUCCGUUUUACCGGCAUGCAGGACACUGCAGUGACCCUCUCCCUCCCACCCCCCAUCCCACGCUAUAUCCAAGUAGCGGGAUGCCUGAGGGACCCAUUCAAGUUUCAAACCAUUUCAAAAUGGCUUGACUCCUUACCAUAGGAUGGUACCAGGGGACUUCUGGCACCAUAACCACUAAAGUGCACUGUUGUAGUUAAUGGGCUUUGAGUGUCUCUUUAAUCAAAAUUAUAUUUCAGAUUAUUUUAUGUAAUGUAUUUGAUCUCAUUUACAAAUAUAUGUUUACAUUUUUAUCUUUUUUAUUUUUGUUGUUGCCAUAAUGUUCCAGAUUUGUUUAACAAUUACUUUUCUUCUCACAGACCCGUCAAGAUCUUGCAGUGUGUGGAUUUCCCUGGUCAUAUUGACUGCAUCACAAACAGUGGCAUUUGCUUUCCUGCAUCCUGGAUUGGCAUAAUGCUACCAUGGCUUGCUAUGAUAAGUAAUCAUUUUUGAGUGGCUGCAAAAAAGUUGCUAAACACGCGUGAUUUCUAUGCAACAAUAUCAUGUAUUUUCAAUUUUAAGCUUUUGUUCCAAAGUAGAAAAUAAAAAAUAAAGAUGAGUUUUCCAA